GGUUUGAUUAUGGCUCAGUGAUUGAACGCUGGCGGGAUGCUGCACACAUGCAAGUCGAACGGCAGCACGGACUUCGGUCUGGUGGCGAGUGGCGAACGGGUGAGUAAUGUAUCGGAACGUGCCUAGUAAGGGGGAUAACUACGCGAAAGGGGAAGCUAAUACCGCAUACCGCCCUUCGGGGGAAAGCGGGGACCUUCGGGCCUCGCACUGUCAGAGCGGCCGAUAUCGGAUUAGCUAGUUGGUGGGUAACGGGCUUACCAAGGACGAUCCGUAGCUGGUUUGAUAGGACGACCAGCCACACUGACUGAGACACGGCCCAGACUCCUACGGGAGGCAGCAGGGGAAUUUUGAGACAAUGGGGGAACUUGAUCCAGCACCCGCGUGUGCGAUGAAGGCCUUCGGAUUGUAAAGCACUUUGGCAGGGAAAGAAACGGCACGGGAUAAUACCCGUGCAACUGACGGUACCUGCAGAAUAAGCACCGGCUAACUACGCCAGCAGCCGCGGGUAAUACGUAGGGUGCAAGCGUUAAUCGGAAUUACUGGGCGUAAAGCGUGCGCAGGCGGUUCGAAAGAAAGAUGUGAAAUCCCAGCUUAACUUUGGAACUGCAUUUAACUACCGAGCUAGAGGUGUCAGAGGGAGGUGGAAUUCCGCGUGUAGCAGUGAAAUGCGUAGAUAUGCGGAGUGGUUCACCGAUGGCGAAGGCAGCCUCCUGAUAACACGACGCUCAAGGCACGAAAGCGUGGGGAGCAAACAGGAUUAGAUACCCUGGUAGUCCACGCUCCUAAACGAUGUCAACUAGCUGUUAUUGGGGCUCGGGCCUUGGUAGCGCAGCUAAUCGCGGAAGUUGACCGCCUGGGGAGUACGGUCGUGAUUAAAACUCAAAGGAAUUACUGGGGACUGCACAAGCGGUGGAUGAUGUGGAUUAAUUCGAUGCAACGCGAAAAACCUUAUCACCUUGACAUGUCUUUGAAUCCCGGAAGAGAUUUGGGAGUGCUCGCAAGAGAACCGGAACACAGGUGCUGCAUGUGGCUGUCGUCAGCUCGUGUCGUGAGAUGUUGGGUUAAGUCCUGAACGAGCGCAACCUUGUCAUUAUUGCUACGAAAGGGCACUCUAAUGAGACUGGCCGGUGACAAACCGAGGAAGGUGGGAUGACGUCAAGUCUCAUGGCCCUUAUGGGUAGAAGCCACACGUCAUACAAUGGUCGGGACAGAGGGUCGCCGCCAACCCGCGAGGAGCCAUCCCAGAAACCCGAUCGUAGUCCGAUCGUAGUCUGCAUCCUCGACUGCGUGAAGUCGGAAUCGCUAGUAAUCGCGGAUCAGCAUGUCGCGGUGAAUACGUUCCCGGCCCUGUACACACCGCCCGUCACACCAUGGGAGUGGGUUUUACCAGAAGUAGUUAGCCUAACCGAGGGCGAUUACCACGGUAGGAUUCAUGACUGGGGUGAAGUCGUAACAAGGUAA
rnacentral:rRNA from 1 species